rnacentral:rRNA from 1 species
CAAGGAAGGCAGCAGGCGCGCAAAUUACCCACUCCCGGCACGGGGAGGUAGUGACGAAAAAUAACGAUACGGGACUCAUCCGAGGCCCCGUAAUCGGAAUGAGUACACUUUAAAUCCUUUAACGAGGAUCAAUUGGAGGGCAAGUCUGGUGCCAGCAGCCGCGGUAAUUCCAGCUCCAAUAGCGUAUAUUAAAGUUGUUGCGGUUAAAAAGCUCGUAGUCGAAUCUGUGUCGUGCGCCGCCGGUUCAUCGCUCGCGGUGUCAACUGGCGUGUCGCAGGACGUCCUGCCGGUGGACUUAGCCGCUCGGUCCUUGCGGCCUUGCGGCGGUCCAACUUCAACAAUCCCACCGCGGUGCUCUUCGCUGAGUGUCGAGGUGGGCCGGCACGUUUACUUUGAACAAAUUAGAGUGCUUAAAGCAGGCUAAAAUUUCGCCUGAAUACUGUGUGCAUGGAAUAAUGGAAUAGGACCUCGGUUCUAUUUUGUUAGUUUUCGGAACCCCGAGGUAAUGAUUAAUAGGAACGGAUGGGGGCAUUCGUAUUGCGACGUUAGAGGUGAAAUUCUUGGAUCGUCGCAAGACGGACUUAAGCGAAAGCAUUUGCCAAAAACGCUUUCAUUGAUCAAGAACGAAAGUUAGAGGUUCGAAGGCGAUCAGAUACCGCCCUAGUUCUAACCAUAAACGAUGCCAGCUAGCGAUCCGCCGACGUUCCUCCGAUGACUCGGCGGGCAGCUUCCGGGAAACCAAAGCUUUUGGGUUCCGGGGGAA